ensembl:lncRNA
GGACAUCUGGCCUAAAUUAAAAGCCCUGUACGAGACUGGGUCUUCAUCUGGAGACAUCGACAAAAAGACCUUGAGCCUCAUUAGAAAGGACCCUAUGUCACAGUCCUGACCACGCCCACCGCUCUCAAGGUCGACGAGAUUGCCUCGUGGGUGCACUACACCCACGUCCGCCCGCGGAUCCACACGCCAUCCUAGAUGACUUCAUCCCAUCAUGACAGGUGUCCAAAGAACACGACAACCCUCUCAAACUCAAGCUGUGUCAUCGACGGUCAUGAUUGUGGUAACUGUACUUUUAACACCAAUAUUAGGAGGACUCUGCAUCGCCUUAGCCUGAAGUCAUCACUUGAGGAAGCCCCAAGUUAGCAUCUUAGCUCUGCCACACAUUCCAUCUGUCCCAGCUGCUCCCCGAAGUUCUGGCUAUGCAGGAGCAGCCAGCCCCCAUUCAACACUGAACAGCAGAGGUAACCCCAGGGUCUCUAAGUGACUAAAUUGCCCAGACUGCACUUGAACUUGUGAUCCUUCAGCCCCAGCUUCCCAGAGUACUGAGUUAUCAUCAUUAUUACAGAAAAGGAAAGCAGAGUCGGACAGGUAAGUUACCUGCCCAAGGUAACACAGUUGUUAAAGUGGGAGAACUGAGACUUAUGCCUAAAUCUGGUGAAACCAGUGCCCUCCAGCCUCCCCAAGAUGCUGAUCUCCUACACAACCAUUUGCUCUCCCUCUGCUUCAACCCUGAAUCUUUGUUUGCUGGGACCUCACAUGCUUCCCUUCUUCCUGGAUGAAUUCCAGGAAGCUUUAUGUAACCACAAGCUUCACCCUCCCCAUCACCCCAAAAGGGAGGAAGUAAAGGCUAAAGCAAUUGACCUAACCAAUCAGGAGCAGAGGGGUGACCCCCCACCCCCAACCCCAGGGGCGACCACACCAACAGCAAAGUAGAGUCUGGCGCUCUGCCAACUGCUUUCUCUCCCACUCCCCUUCCUAGCCUGGUUUCAGCCUCUCUACUCUCACUUCUCUUUUUUUUCAGAUAACUUUACUUUCCAGGAUCCUACCUCACUAGUCUUGUCGAUUCAAGAACAUUUCUAAGUACCUACUGUUAGCUACAGACUGAGGAUUCACUCUCCUGCCAGAGAGAACACGUUCAAUGCAAUAUUAAUAAUAAUAAUUGCUGACACUUACUAAGCCUUUCUUAUGCACCAAUCCCUAUUCUUUCAUUCUGAGAAUGAGCAAGAGCUUUUAUGUCAGUUACAAAGAGACGAAACCAACUGGGUGUGAUGGCUCAUGCCUGUAACCCUAGUACUCUGCGAGGCUGAUGUAGGAAGAUCACAAGUUCCAACCCAGACAAUUUAGCAAAAC